rnacentral:rRNA from 1 species
AUUGAACGCUGGCGGCAGGCCUAACACAUGCAAGUCGAGCGAGCGGUGGACGGGUGAGUAAUGUCUGGGAAACUGCCUGAUGGAGGGGGAUAACUACUGGAAACGGUAGCUAAUACCGCAUACCAUCAGAUGUGCCCAGAUGGGAUUAGCUGGUAGGUGGGGUAACGGCUCACCUAGGCGACGAUCCCUAGCUGGUCUGAGAGGAUGACCAGCGACACUGGAACUGAGAGGCGGUCCCGACUCCUGCGGGAGGCAGCGGUGGGGAAUAUUGCACUAGGGGCGCAAGCCUGAUGCAGCCAUGCCGCGUGAGUGGAGGAGGCCUUCGGGUUGUAGAGCGCUUUCAGCGGGGCGGCGUUACCCGCAGAAGAAGCACCGGCUAACUCCGUGCCAGCGGCCGCGGUAAUUC